UACGUAGGGUGCGAGCGUUAAUCGGAUUUACUGGGCGUAAAGCGUGCGCAGGCGGCCCGUUAAGACAGGUGUGAAAUCCCUGGGCUCAACCUAGGAAUUGCGCUUGUGACUGGCGGGCUCGAGUACGGUAGAGGGAGACGGAACUGCUGGUGUAGGGGUGAAAUGCGUAGAGAUCAGGAGGAACACCGAUGGCGAAGGCAGCCCCCUGGGCCUGUACUGACGCUCAUGCACGAAAGCGUGGGGAGCAAACAGG
rnacentral:rRNA from 1 species